UGGGGAAUAGUGUAAUGGUAGCACGAUUGACUCUGACUCAAUUAGUCUAGGUUCGAAUCCUUGUUCCCCAGCCA
rnacentral:tRNA from 4 species